GAUGAAGAACGUAGCGAAAUGCGAUAAGUAAUGUGAAUUGCAGAAUUCAGUGAAUCAUCGAAUCUUUGAACGCACCUUGCGCCCUUUGGCUAUUCCGAAGGGCAUGCCUGUUUGAGUAUCAUGAACACCUCAACUCUCAUGGCUUGCCAUGAUGAGCUUGGACUUUUGGGGGUCUUGCUGGCCUGUGGUCAGCUCCUCUCAAAUGAAUUAGCCUGCCAGUGUUUGGUGGCAUCACAGGUGUGAUAACUAUCUACGCUUGUGGUUUUCCACCAGGUAACCUUCAGUGAUGAAGGUUCGCUGGGGCUCAUAACCGUCUCUCCUCAGUGAGGACAGCUCUUUGAACGUUUGAUCUCAAAUCAGGUAGGACUACCCGCUGAACUUAAGCAUAUCAAUAAGCGGAGGA
rnacentral:misc_RNA from 1 species